AUUGAACGCUGGCGGCAGGCCUAACACAUGCAAGUCGAAUGGUAACAGGAAACUGCUUGCUGUUUCGCUGACGAGUGGCGGACGGGUGAGUAAUGUCUGGGAAACUGCCUGAUGGAGGGGGAUAACUACUGGAAACGGUAGCUAAUACCGCAUAACGUCGCAAGACCAAAGAGGGGGACCUUCGGGUCUCUUGCCAUCAGAUGUGCCCAGAUGGGAUUAGCUAGAAUGUGGGGUAACUGCUCACCUAGGCGACGAUCCCUAGCUGGUCUGAGAGGAUGACCAGCCACACUGGUACUGAGACACCGUCCAGACUCCUACGGGAGGCAGCAGUGGGGAAUAUUGCGCAAAGGGCGCAAGACUGAUGCAGCCAUGCCGCGUGUAUGAAGAAGGCCUUCGGGUUGUAAAGUACUUGCAGCGGGGAGGAAGGGAGUAAAGUUAAUACCUUGGCUCAUUGACGUUACCCGCAGAAGAAGCACCGGCUAACUCCGUG
rnacentral:rRNA from 1 species